rnacentral:rRNA from 1 species
GACGAACGCUGGCGGCGUGCUUAACACAUGCAAGUCGAACGGAAAGGCCCCUUUGGGGGUACUCGAGUGGCGAACGGGUGAGUAACACGUGAGUAACCUGCCCUUGACUUCGGGAUAACUUCAGGAAACUGGGGCUAAUACCGGAUAGGAAUCCUUGCUGCAUGGUGGGGGUUGGAAAGCUUCGGCGGUUUUGGAUGGACUCGCGGCUUAUCAGCUUGUUGGUGGGGUAGUGGCUUACCAAGGCUUUGACGGGUAGCCGGCCUGAGAGGGCGACCGGCCACAUUGGGACUGAGAGACGGCCCAGACUCCUACGGGAGGCAGCAGUGGGGAAUAUUGCACAAUGGGCGGAAGCCUGAUGCAGCAACGCCGCGUGCGGGAUGACGGCCUUCGGGUUGUAAACCGCUUUCAGCAGGGGCGAAGCUUGUGGUGACGGUACCUGCAGAAGAAGCGCCGGCUAACUACGUGC